UUAAAUUGUAAGGGGAGCCAUUAAAUUGGCUGAGAGGAUUGGGAUCGACCCUUGGAACCUGAUCCGGGUAAUGCCGGCGGAGGGAUGUUAUGUAUGAGGAUG
rnacentral:ncRNA from 2 species